GGUUAGACAGGUUGGCCGAGGGGGUGUGGUAUCUAAAAGACUUUUCAGGGGUCCUUAGGUUGUAGGGACUGCAUUGCUUGGACAAAGUGACGAAUACAAUCAGGCGGCCAAGAAAAGUGAUAAUGAUUUGGAUUUUGAGAGAGGGCCAAUUUACAGAAAACAAUGAAAAAAUCUGUCUUAGCGGCUUCCACGGGACAGAAAAAAAAAAAGAUUAUAUGUUACUCUGGAAAUGCUACCGUGUACAGACUUACUAUAUAAUAUAUUGUUCAAAGGAAAAACAGAGGCACAACAUAUAUGAGCAAAUAUAAUGACAAAAAAA